AAUGUUUUGUUUUAAAUAUUAUUUUUUCCUAUUUCGUUAUAAACAUUUGUUUUAUUAACGAAAAAGGAUUUGUAAUUAUCUUCACUAUGUAGACAGAUGAAUAACGUUUUAAGUGGCUAUGUUUUUUUCAGAUACUCUUGUGUGUAUAUGAUGAACAACUUACAAAUUAAUGAAAACAUAACAAUAAUUGAGCAUUAUACAGAUUAAGGAUUUAAAAACAUAUUUGUCUGUGAUGACUUCUGUACGCGUUGCAGUCAUGUUUUAGAUGUUAAAUGUAUUGUUAUUUAAGUGUAUAAUAAGAGCUAGCAUUUUGAUUAAUAAAAUACAAAUUUAUGCAUUCUAUAGGCUACAAGUUUAAAAGUUAUGAUUGUGAAAACUGCUGUACGAAAUGCAUGCUUGUUUUAAAUGUUACCUGUAGUUUUUAAUUUUACACAGAACAAAACAAAAAAAAAAGCAUUUGAAAGAACAAAAAAUAUACAAUGAUUCAUACCAAAAUUGAGUAUGCAUAUGUAAUAUGCGUACCUUUGUCUUUCAAACAAUGACACGUAUAAGGUUAUACAUAUAUACAUAAUUUUACAAGUUACACGUGCAGAGAUAUAUGCAGUAUAAAGGACAAUAAUGACAACGCCUUUUAAAAUACGCAUGCACAAGGAAAAUUGACAAUGACCUCAUAAUAAGUGUAUAUAAUUAUAUGUUGUGUUAUGUCCAUAAACGUUUACACACGUGACAAUUACAUAACAAUGUAAAAUUACACAAAGAGUGCUUAUAAUACAAUGUGAUUUUUUUUCAGGUGUUAUAACGGUUUAUGCCUGAUCAAGUUUAUGGAAUAUAAUAACACAUAUACCUUAUUAUUUGUAUAUAUAGUUUUCAAAAAGUAUAUGUAUAUAUUGUUUGCACAUGUACUAUGCGUACAUUUGUAUUUUAAACAAUGACACGUAUACGGUUAUACAUAUAUAAAUACAUUUUCAAACAAGUUAUACAUGCAGAGACAUAUACAGUGUAAAUGACAAUAAUGACAACGCCUACUAACGUUCGCAUGCACUAAAAAGACUGUCAAUUACUUUAUAAUAAGUAUAUAUAAUUAUCUAGUUUUUUAUGUCUAUUAACGUUAACUUGUGGCAAUUGCAUAAUGAAAUUAUUAUUAUUAUCAGUUGUUAUAACCGUUUAUGCCUGAUCAAACUUAUGGAAUAUAAUAACACAUAUACCUUAUUAUUUGUAUAUAUAGUUUUUUUUUAAGUAUAUGUAUAUAUUGUAUGCACAUGUAAUAUUCGUACCUUUGUAUUUUAAACAAUGACACGUAUACGGUUAUACAUAUAUAAAUACAUUUUCAAACUAUUUACACAUUCAGAGACAUUAUACUGAUUAAGGAUUUAAAACAUAUUUGUCUGUGAUGACUACUGACUACUGUACGCGUUGCAGUCAUGUUUUAGAUGUUAAAUGUAUUGUUACUUAAGCGUAUAAUAAGAGCUAGCUUUUUGAUUAAUAAAAUACAAAUUUAUGCAUUCUAUAGGCUACAAGUUUAAAAGUUAUGAUUGUGAAACUGUUGUACGAAAUGCAUGCUUGUUUUAAAUGUUACCUGUAGUUUUAAAUUUUACACAGAACAAAACAGAAAAAAAGCAUUUGAAAGAACAAAAAAUAUACACUGAUUCAUACUAAAAUUGUGUAUGCAUAUGUAAUAUGCGUACCUUUGUCUUUCAAACAAUGACACGUAUAAGGUUAUACAUAUAUACAUAAUUUUACAAGUUACACGUGCAGAGAUAUAUGCAGUAUAAAGGACAAUAAUGACAACGCCUUUUAAAAUACGCAUGCACAAGGAAAAUUGACAAUGACCUCAUAAUAAGUGUAUAUAAUUAUAUGUUGUGUUAUGUCCAUAAACGUUUACACACGUGACAAUUACAUAACAAUGUAAAAUUACACAAAGAGUGCUUAUAAUACAAUGUGAUUUUUUUUCAGGUGUUAUAACGGUUUAUGCCUGAUCAAAUUUAUGAAAUAUAAUAACACAUAUACCUUAUUAUUUGUAUAUAUAUUUUUUUUUAAAGUAUAUGUAUAUAUUGUAUGCACAUGUAAUAUUCGUACCUUUGUAUUUUAAACAAUGACACGUAUACGGUUAUACAUUUAUAAAUACAUUUUCAAACUAGUUACACAUUCAGAGACAUAUGCAGUAUAAAGGACAAUAAUGACAACGCCUACUAACGUGCGCAUACACUAAAAAAGACUGUCAGUUGCUUUAUAAUUAAUGUAUGUUAUUAUAUAGUGUUUUAUGUUCAUUAACGUUAACUUGUGGCAAUUGCAUAACAAUUUUAAAGUACAAAAUAUUGAUUAUAAUACAAUGUAACUAUAAUUGUAGUGUGUUAUAAAGGUUUAUGGAAAGUUUGUUAUACUACAAUGCAACUAUAUUUGUAAUGUGUUAUAAAGGUUCAUGGAAAGUUUGUUAUACUACAUGUAGAUAAUAAGUAUAGUUUGUGCACAUCACAUUUAUUAAUGAUAAAUGAUUACAAUGUAACUAUAAUUGUAGUGUGUUAUAAAGGUUUAUGGAAAGUUUGUUAUACUACAAUGCAACUAUAUUUGUAAUGUGUUAUAAAGGUUCAUGGAAAGUUUGUUAUACUACAUGUAGAUAAUAAGUAUA